AGUGUGAAGUCGUCACACUGCUACUCUCUACUGCUCUAGCAACCAACUCACCGUCACACGGGCUCAUAAACUUACUUUGCACUUUUUAGCAACUUAGCACCCUCCCCCUCACACACGCACACAUAGAUAA
rnacentral:ribozyme from 1 species